CAGUGUUUCCGCUCUGCAACG
rnacentral:miRNA from 1 species